rnacentral:rRNA from 1 species
UACGGAGGGUGCUAGCGUUGUUCGGAAUCACUGGGCGUAAAGGGCGUGUAGGCGGUCUGUUAAGUCUGAUGUGAAAUCCCCUCGCUUAACGAGGGAACUGCGUCGGAUACUGGAAGGCUUGAAUCCGGGAGAGGGAUGCGGAAUUCCAGGUGUAGCGGUGAAAUGCGUAGAUAUCUGGAGGAACACCGGUGGCGAAGGCGGCAUCCUGGACCGGCAUUGACGCUGAGGCGCGAAAGCCAGGGGAGCAAACGGG